UACAACGGCCACUUGGUGUCUC
rnacentral:siRNA from 1 species